UGGGGAAUAUUGGACAAUGGGCGAAAGCCUGAUCCAGCAAUGCCGCGUGUGUGAAGAAGGUCUUCGGAUUGUAAAGCACUUUCGGCGGGGACGAUGAUGACGGUACCCGCAGAAGAAGCCCCGGCUAACUUCGUGCCAGCAGCCGCGGUAAUACGAAGGGGGCUAGCGUUGCUCGGAAUGACUGGGCGUAAAGGGCGCGUAGGCGGCUUGCACAGUCAGAUGUGAAAUUCCUGGGCUUAACCUGGGGGCUGCAUUUGAUAUGUGUGGGCUAGAGUGUGAAAGAGGGUCGUGGAAUUCCCAGUGUAGAGGUGAAAUUCGUAGAUAUUGGGAAGAACACCGGUGGCGAAGGCGGCGACCUGGUUCAUGACUGACACUGAGGGACGAAAGCUAGGGGAGCGAAAG
rnacentral:rRNA from 1 species